ensembl:ncRNA B0034.16 ncRNA
AUGCAAUAAAAUGAAAUAUGACCUCUUUUGAUGAAGAAAAAGUGGAAGAUCAAGUGUCUCGAAUUUCUCGAAAAACAAUCCAAUCAAACUAAAAUUUUCCACAUCCGACCUUCGCAGGAAUUUGAAAAAACAAAUGAGGUCCUCGGGGUCUCCCAUAGCAACUCACUCUGCGUCUCUUCCUCUCACGCACUGUCUCCCCAAUAUUUCGUAACUCUUGUCUGCGUCUCGUGCUCUCUACUUCUGACAUCCGGAGCCGUCGGUCCAUGCGUGCGCGAA